CCUACGGGAGGCUGCAGUAGGGAAUCUUUCACAAUGGGCGAAAGCCUGAUGGAGCAACGCCGCGUGCAGGAUGAAGGCCUUCGGGUUGUAAACUGCUUUUAUAAGCGAGAAAUAUGAUGGUAACUUAUGAAUAAGGAUCGGCUAACUACGUGCCAGCAGCCGCGGUCAUACGUAGGAGCCGAGCAUUAUCCGGAGUGACUGGGUGUAAAGAGUUGCGUAGGUGGCAUAAUAAGUAGCUAGUGAAAUCUGGUGGCUCAACCAUUCAGACUAUUAGCUAAACUGGUAAGCUCGAGACCGUUAGGGGUAACUGGAAUUUCUAGUGUAGGAGUGAAAUGCGUAGAUAUUAGAAGGAACACCAAUAGCGUAGGCAGGUUACUGGGACGGUUCUGACACUAAGGCACGAAAGCGUAGGGAGCAAACGGGAUUAGAUACCCGGGUAGUC
rnacentral:rRNA from 1 species